rnacentral:rRNA from 1 species
AUUGAACGCUGGCGGCAGGCCUAACACAUGCAAGUCGAGCGGAUGAAGGGAGCUUGCUCCUGGAUUCAGCGGCGGACGGGUGAGUAAUGCCUAGGAAUCUGCCUGGUAGUGGGGGAUAACGUCCGGAAACGGGCGCUAAUACCGCAUACGUCCUGAGGGAGAAAGUGGGGGAUCUUCGGACCUCACGCUAUCAUAUGAGCCUAGGUCGGAUUAGCUAGUUGGUGGGGUAAAGGCCUACCAAGGCGACGAUCCGUAACUGGUAUGAGAGGAUGAUCAGUCACACUGGAACUGAGACACGGUCCAGACUCCUACGGGAGGAAGCAGUGGGGAAUAUUGGACAAUGGGCGAAAGCCUGAUCCAGCCAUGCCGCGUGUGUGAAGAAGGUCUUCGGAUUGUAAAGCACUUUAAGUUGGGAGGAAGGGAAGUAAGUUAAUACCUUGCUGUUUUGACGUUACCAACAGAAUAAGCACCGGCUAACUUCGUG